GGCCGGUUAGCUCAGUCAGUUAGAGCGUGGCGCUGAUAACACGAAGGUCACGGGUUCAAUCCCCGUUCAGUCUC
rfam:Apaloderma vittatum contig54914, whole genome shotgun sequence.